rnacentral:rRNA from 1 species
AGUGAACGCUGGCGGUAGGCCUAACACAUGCAAGUCGAACGGCAGCACAGUAAGAGCUUGCUCUUACGGGUGGCGAGUGGCGGACGGGUGAGGAAUACAUCGGAAUCUACUUUUUCGUGGGGGAUAACGUAGGGAAACUUACGCUAAUACCGCAUACGACCUACGGGUGAAAGCAGGGGAUCUUCGGACCUUGCGCGAUUGAAUGAGCCGAUGUCGGAUUAGCUAGUUGGCGGGGUAAAGGCCCACCAAGGCGACGAUCCGUAGCUGGUCUGAGAGGAUGAUCAGCCACACUAGAACUGAGACACGGUCCAGACUCCUACGGGAGGCAGCAGUGGGGAAUAUUGGACAAUGGGCGCAAGCCUGAUCCAGCCAUACCGCGUGGGUGAAGAAGGCCUUCGGGUUGUACAGCCCUUUUGUUGGGAAAGAAAAGCAGCAGGUUAAUACCCCGCUGUUCUGACGGUACCCAAAGAAUAAGCACCGGCUAACUUCGUG